AUGCGUGGUAUCAAGAGGUGCAUUGAGGCGCUCCUGCAGCCUCCUCCCGGCACGGGACUCCUCACAACCCCCAGCCUCAGCUUCCCUGACAGGGCAGGGGCUCACUCUUCUCCACUCCGGGCCAGGAACGCAGCCUGCUUGCCUUUUGUCCAAUUGGGUGCUCUUUCUUUGCGACUGAUACAAAGUGGGAACAAACUCCGCUUCCGGUGAUGCCCGGGCCCCAGGAGGCUGGGGGAGAAGUGCACGCUGCCCAGCCUUCAACCUGAACUGCCCCCAGCACUUCCGAGCCCCGACCCCUGCAGCUGUGAGGGAAGCCCCGACCUCUGCCCUGGCCACAUCCUUCCCCUGAUCUCAUGGCUGAAAAGCCACACCAGAAUUCCUGCAAUUCAGUGAGGCAGCUCUUCAAAACCAAGCAGCUGGUGACGCACAGGGACAGAGGGGCCCAGGGGCUGCUGGCUGCCAGGACCACCGCAUUGCAGAGGUCUCCCUUGCAGCAAGAGAUCUGGGAGUCCACAACGGCACUUGUUCUUCCAGGCAGGUAACUCACUGAAUGCUCACAGCCUGCGCCUCUCCUGCAUGGAGCUGAACCUGCCCUCUGCCCUGGCACCCCAGGGACUCACUGCCAAAGACGCUCACUUUCUGGGAGACACAGACCCCAUCCAGGAAGGGGCACGAGACCACGCUGCAGGAGGCCCCUUCCAAGACCGCCAAGCAUCUGUAGCAGCGCAGACCCUGAGCUGGGAGAGAGGGCAAGAAAACACACCCCUGGUGGAGAUUUAAGAUGCUAAUGACACAUGCGACGUAUGAGCAAGCAGGUGCAGCUACUGCACGUGUGCACCCAGAGGACCCCCCCAGAACAUGCUUCCUAGCAACACCUCUGCCCACCCGCUGAUUCUCUCGGCACCACGGGAACCACCUUCUCUACUCUCACUGAACACCCCUGGGAUGUAUCUGUAAAAAUUGGAACACCUUUCGGCUAGAAACCAGAGGAAGCCGCUCAUGACACCCGGGAGCUCACAGAGGCUCUGAAGUUUCUAUUCAAGAAAACAACUCCAGAUGGGGCUGAUCUGGAAGACAAGUAACAUCUUCCUUUUCUUGGUGCUCGCCUGCCGUGCUCUAGGUGCUUUUAGAGAUGCUGGUCUGUGUGCUAGGGAAGCGAUGAACCAUACUGUUAGUCUAUUAAACAUAACUCAACCUGG
rnacentral:lncRNA from 10 species